rnacentral:rRNA from 1 species
UACGGAGGAUGCAAGCGUUAUCCGGAAUCACUGGGCGUAAAGCGUCUGUAGGUGGUCAAAUAAGUCAACUGUUAAAUCUUGAGGCUCAACCUCAAAAUCGCAGUCGAAACUAUUAGACUAGAGUAUAGUAGGGGUAAAGGGAAUUUCCAGUGGAGCGGUGAAAUGCGUAGAGAUUGGAAAGAACACCGAUGGCGAAGGCACUUUACUGGGCUAUUACUAACACUCAGAGACGAAAGCUAGGGUAGCAAAUGGG